GGGAAUAUUGCACAAUGGGGGAAACCCUGAUGCAGCGACGCCGCGUGAGUGAAGAAGCGUUUCGGCGCGUAAAGCUCUGUCAGCGGGGAAGAAACACGGUUCGCGAGAGCCGCGGACGGUACCCGACCAAGAAGCCCCGGCUAACUACGUGCCAGCAGCCGCGGUAAUACGUAGGGGGCAAGCGUUAUCCGGAUUCACUGGGUGUAAAGGGAGCGUAGACGGCGAGACAAGUCUGGAGUGAAAGGCCGGGGCCCAACCCCGGGACUGCUCUGGAAACUGCCUGGCUGGAGUACAGGAGAGGUAAGUGGAAUUCCUAGUGUAGCGGUGAAAUGCGUAGAUAUUAGGAGGAACACCAGUGGCGAAGGCGGCUUACUGGACUGUAACUGACGUUGAGGCUCGAAAGCGUGGGGAGCAAACAGA
rnacentral:rRNA from 1 species